CUUUCCAAAAGCAGAGGCACACGGCCUUUGCUGUUUAAAAGAAAGAAAAAAAUUAAAAAUAAAUGGGGAAAGGGUCAUCUGACCCGAGAGAAAAGAAAUAGGAAGGGGAGGGUUUUUCUCUUAUGAUUUUUCAUACAAAAAUCAUGAUCUACGAAGAUCCAACCGUCUAAAUUUAAAUCCGACUUCGGAUUUAUUGUGAGGAGCUUACUAAACACUCUCCAAGUGUUAGAUUUACAUUUGGUGGAAUUUUUGUGAUACAUUGCAAGGUGGCGUCUAGGAGACCUAAGCUUGAUAUCCGCGCAACCAGACUCUGAUGUUUUGACUGCAGGUUCAAUGGAUCUAAUUAAAGACGUCGUAGCAUAGUACUUGGGAUGUUAUGACUGAAGCCCGACGCGACAAUUAUAAUGGUUGGAUCAUGGGUUGUCUGCCUUUUAGUAGAUUUUGUUUAUGGCUCGUGUCGCAUGUGACAAUUGUAUUUAUGAGCCAAAGUUUUAGUACAUAUUUAAUAGCUAUAUAGAAGUCUUAAAUAGAUAGACAUAUUAAUGGCUCUUUGUUGUAUUUAACUGUCAUCUAUAGAUGUACCUUCCGCUAUGUUAAUAAUGUUAUUAUAUGUUAUUCGCUGCGUAGAUGUAACUCUGAUUAUCAAGUACAUGUUAUGGAAUGUGUACCGUAUGUUGGCUGAGCGACACGUAGUUGUCUCACUGUGAUGACUCAUUUUACGUUUUCAAAAAAAAAAAAAAUAAAUCGGGUCGUCACACUUGGUAUAAGUGUUGGAAGUGCUUAGU